CUGCCACUGUCUCCGGAGUGGGUCACACCCGGCGUGGGCCGGGCGCUUGACGCUAGAAGCGAGAGCCCGCUCGGGGCUCGCCUCCCCGCCUCACCUGGGAAAA